CAGUGUUUCAAAUUGUUUAGGCUCACCCUGUGAUCCCAGUUUUAUUCUGAGCUGUGCACCCAGCAAUGUGAUUUGCUCCAUUAUUUUCCAUCGUCAUUUUGAUUAUAAAGAUCAGGAUUUUCUUACCCUGCUGAAAAUGUUCGAUGAAAUUGUCAAGAUUCUGAGCUCUCCAUGGAUGCAGGUCUACAAUAAUUUCCCAGCUCUCAAUGAUUAUCUUCCAGGGAUUCAUAACACAAUCAUUAAAAAUAUGGAUUAUAUAAAAAGUUAUGUUGUAGAGAGAAUAAAAGAACACAAAGAAUCACUAGAUGUUAACAAUCCUCGGGACUUCAUUGAUUGCUUCCUGAUAAAAAUGGAAAAGG